AGAUCUUCCCAAUACAUGUGAUGGGUAUUGCUGGGAGUUUGGUGACCCUAGUGAGCUGGUUUGGUACUUGGGCAGUUUCUUAUACUUUCAACUUUCUCAUGAGCUGGAGUUCCUCAGGCACAUUUUUCGUCUACCCUGCGUUUAGCGCACAAACUGUACUUUUCGUGGCGAAAAUGGUACCCGAAACCAAGGGGAAGACACUGGAGGAAAUUCAGGCUUCCAUCAACACACAGGGAAGAAUGAAGUUAUGAAGCUGAGUGUAUUGGAAAUUAAUUCAAGAAUGGAGUAUUGGAAAUGAGGCUUGCUUUUCAUGGCAAAUUGAUUUGCUUUUUUGCAGUUCCCAAUCUCUUUAAAAUGGGAAUUGAUUUUCGAUUCGUUAAAAAACAAGAGUUGAUUUUGUGGGGCUC